rnacentral:rRNA from 1 species
UGGGGGAUAUUGCACAAUGGGGGAAACCCUGAUGCAGCGACGCCGCGUGAGUGAAGAAGUAUUUCGGUAUGUAAAGCUCUAUCAGCAGGGAAGAAAAAAGACGGUACCUGACUAAGAAGCCCCGGCUAACUACGUGCC